AUCGUCUACAUCUGCAAGACAGUGUGUGUAAAUAUUAGCCUUGUCUUCCACUUGCUAGGGUUUUCCUCGCUGCGUCCGCCCGUGUGUAAGCCAUCAUGCCAUGGUGGACAAUGAUAACGAAGACUCAAUGGCGCCACAAUCGGUCUGACGCGUAAGGAGCCAGUGUCUUUCCUGACUAAUCUUCGAGUGCAAUAAGUGUGAAGCAGGAGAGUGCGUCGCAGGAGGCCUGUGUGGUGCGGCGUGAGAGUGUGAGGCGUAGAACCUUGUUCCUCACACUCGGCUCUCACUUGCUUCUCCCCCGGCGCCUGCCGGAGGCACGUGACCUGCCCUUAAAACGGCUAAAUGUCAGUGUAAGACAUUUACUGCUCGAGCUCAGUCUGGCCGCCGAUUAGUGGCAGGAGAAUAUGUAUAUAUGUCGCCGCCGCGACCUUGAUUUCGCCGCGGAAAAGGUGUCUCUUGUCAAGUGAGUGGAACGUGUUCUAACGAAUUACCAGGAACCGUGUCCUGCGACCACCCUCCUCUUGAGCACGGCGGUGGAGGAAGCCCAUCAGCGCGAGGCAUGCCUCCCCUGAAGGCGGCAGUGUGAGGACUUGCGCCCCUGCCCCCUCAGUCAGUGAGCGACGGCGAGGAAUUAGGCGCAUCUAUGAGUGAGUGGUGGAGGUCGUGGCUGCCAGGUGACCCUAGCGUCCUGCAAUGCCCCACCGCCCUCCUCCUCACUGGGGGCGUUGUGCUCUUCUGCAUCGCCGCCUACGUGAUGACAAGGCCCUACUUGUACUCUCACCUCUUCUACGACAACACAGAAACUGAGCGGCGCAUCAAACCAAACAAUCCAGAGUUCAACGCGCAGUUUAAUUAUGCCAAAAACUACAUCAAGACCUCCAAGUACACGCUGCUGAACUUCAUCCCGUACAACCUGUUCGAGCAGUUCCAGCGGCUGGCCAACUUCUACUUCCUGUGCCUGCUGGUGCUGCAGCUGAUCCCCGUCAUCUCGUCGCUCACGCCCGUCACCACCGCCGUCCCCCUCAUCGGCGUGCUCAUGGUCACGGGCAUCAAGGACGCAUACGAUGACUUCCAACGCCACCGCAGUGAUAACCAAGUGAACAGGAGAAAGUCCUACGUGUUGAGGAAUGGCCAAUUGGCAGAAGAGAUGUGGAGUAAGGUGGAAGUGGGCGAUGUGAUCCGGAUGGAGAAUAAUCAGUUUGUGGCAGCCGAUGUCUUGCUGCUGUCCACGUCUGAACCCAACGGCCUUUGCUAUAUUGAAACAUCGGAGUUGGACGGGGAGACCAACCUGAAGUCCAAGCAGUGUCUGCCGGAGACGGAGGACUUCGGGCAAGAUGUUGGCCGCAUCGGGUCAUUUCAGGGUGAAAUUCGAUGCGAACCCCCGAACAACCAGCUUAAUAAGUUCGAUGGAACCUUGUACUGGGAUAACCAAGCGCAUUCUUUGGACAACGACAAGAUUCUGCUGCGUGGUUGCAUCCUCCGGAACACUCAGUGGUGCUACGGCGUGGUCAUCUUCGCCGGCAAGGACACCAAACUCAUGAUGAAUUCUGGGAAGACAAAGUUCAAACGCACAAGUAUUGAUAGAUUGUUAAACUUCAUUAUUUUAGGGAUUGUAUUUUUUCUGCUUUCUAUGUGCCUAUUUUGCACUGUAGCCUGUGGAAUAUGGGAGACAUUGACAGGUCAGCACUUCAGAAUUUACCUGCCAUGGGAUAGUCUUGUACCGCCAGAGCCAGCUGGUGGUGCUGCUGUGAUAGCCCUCCUGGUCUUUUUCUCAUAUGCAAUUGUCCUGAACACCGUUGUGCCUAUUUCUCUAUAUGUUAGUGUGGAAGUAAUUCGAUUAUGUCAGAGCUUCCUCAUCAAUUGGGAUGUUGCCCUUUGUUAUGCUCCUACUGGGGUGCAUGCAAAAGCACGCACAACCACCCUGAAUGAGGAGCUUGGCCAGAUUGAAUAUAUUUUCUCAGACAAGACUGGAACUUUAACACAGAAUAUUAUGACAUUCAACAAAUGCUCUAUAGCAGGAAGAUCAUUUGGAGAUAUAAUAGAUCCAAGAACAGGUGAAAGUUUGGAAAUUAAUGAGUCAGGAACUUGGGUCAGAAAGAAAACGAAGAAGUCAUCAAGCAAGAGAAAUGCCAACCUGAGAACAUCACCUGAAGCCACAGUGGACCUCAUUGGUCCCUUAGAUGAGACAGAGGUCAACCUGCUGAGCGACGAAGAGUACCGACAGGUAGAUGCUUGGGCUCGGCAAAGUCCAUCGACCCCUGAGUUCUGUCGAAGUGAUUUUAAUGGCACGGGACAGCUGGGCCAAUUCCCUGGCAGCCUUGGCAGGGAGAUGGAGCAGAGCUGUUCAAUUGAUUUACUUGAUCUCUCUUCUUCAGAUUCCGAAUCAAGCCAACAAAAGCCAUACACAAGAUCAGUGGAUUUGUCACACAACCCAUACCAUGAGUCAAGCUUCAAGUUUUAUGACCAUGCACUGACAGAUGCUCUAGAUGCUAAUGAUCCCAGCUGUGAGCUCUUCUUUCGACUCCUUGCACUUUGUCACACUGUGAUGUCAGAGGAUAACAAUGGAAAAUUGGAAUACCAAGCACAGUCACCAGAUGAGGCAGCGUUGGUCUCAGCUGCUCGCAACUUUGGUUUUGUUUUCCUUUCACGCACGCCAAAUAGUAUUACCAUAUCAGCAAAAGGAACUGAAGAAGUAUAUGAGCUGCUUUGUAUCCUUGACUUUAAUAAUGUCAGGAAAAGAAUGUCGGUAAUUCUCAAGAGAGAUGGUAAAAUACGUCUAUAUUGUAAAGGUGCUGACUCCAUCAUAUAUGAAAGACUAAAAGAUGGACAAGAAAGUUUGAAAUAUCACACUCAGGAGCAUCUAAAUAAAUUUGCAGGGGAAGGUUUGCGAACACUAUGCCUUGCGUACAAGGAUUUAGAUGGAGAAUAUUUUCAAGAUUGGAAAGCUCGGCAUCAUGAAGCUGCCAUUUCUCUGGACAGGCGAGAGGAGAAAUUGGAUGCUAUUUAUGAAGAGAUUGAAAAGGAUCUUAUUCUCUUGGGAGCUACAGCUAUUGAGGACAAACUGCAGGAUGGGGUGCCUCAAACCAUAGCCAAUCUUGCAGUUGCUGGCAUUAAGAUCUGGGUGCUUACAGGUGACAAACAGGAAACGGCAAUUAAUAUUGGUUAUUCCUGCCAGUUGUUGACAGAUGAUAUGCUUGAUAUCUUCAUCAUUGAUGCCCACACUGCCUCCGAAGUUGAAGAUCAGCUCAAGAAAUAUCGUGAAGAGAUUCGCAAUGUUAAUGCCACAAGUCAACCUCAGACAAAUCUAUCAGUUGUCACAUUCAGCGAUGAAGGCGUCGGGCAGGAUACUCUGAGUGAUGCUGGUGAGCCAAAUGGAGGCUUUGCUCUGGUUAUUAAUGGACACUCCUUGGUUUGGGCUCUCAGUCCCAAGUUUGAGCAGCUCUUCCUGGAAGUUGCCAGUCAGUGUAAAUCCGUUAUUUGCUGUAGAGUGACACCCUUGCAAAAAGCCUUGGUUGUUGAUUUGGUGAAACGCUACAAGAAAGCAGUGACUCUGGCAGUGGGUGAUGGAGCCAAUGACGUGUCAAUGAUUAAAACUGCUCACAUUGGAGUAGGCAUAUCUGGCCAGGAGGGCUUGCAAGCAGUCUUGGCAUCGGAUUAUUCAGUGGCGCAGUUCCGUUUUCUUGAGAGACUGUUGCUGGUGCAUGGCCGUUGGUCCUACUACCGGAUGUGCAAGUUCCUUAGAUACUUCUUCUACAAAAACUUUGCUUUCACUUUGUGCCACUUUUGGUUUGCCUUCUUUGUGGCAUUCUCAGCACAGACACUGUUUGAUCCCAUGUUUAUAUCAGUCUAUAAUCUGUUCUACACAUCGAUGCCUGUGUUGGCUCUCGGCAUCUUUGAACAAGAUGUCAAUGCAGUGAAUAGUAUCAAGUUUCCUCGUCUCUACGGCCCUGGCCUCAGCAAUGCUCUGUUUAAUAAACGAGAAUUCUUCAGAUCUGCCCUUCAUGGAUUUCUAACCUCUUGUGUCCUGUUCUUCAUACCUUUUGGUGCAUACUACAAUGGCAUGGAUCAGGAUGGCCGUAGCAUGGCUGAUCAACAGACAUUUGGCAGUGUUGUAGCAACAAUUCUUGUCAUUGUAGUCACUGUACAAAUUUGUUUGGAUACAUCAUAUUGGACCAUGUUCAACCACAUCACCAUAUGGGGAUCUCUCAUCUUUUACUUUCUGCUGCAAUACUUCUACAACUUUGUCAUCGGUGGUGAAUAUGUUGGAGCUCUAGCAAAGGCCAUGGGUGAGCCAAUGUUCUACUUUACCUCGCUCCUAACUAUUGUGGUGCUGAUGCUGCCUGUGAUGGCGUGGCGCUUCUACUGGGUGGAUGUCCACCCCACUCUUUCCGACAAGGUGAGGUUUAAACAGCGCCAUGAUGCAAAGAUGGCAAGCAAGAGAUCUGACCAUGACAUGCUUCGCACUCCAUCGGCAAGAAGAUCACGGCGAUCCAUCCGCUCGGGUUAUGCAUUUGCCCACCAGGAAGGGUUUGGCCGCCUCAUCACAAGUGGGAAAAUCAUGCGGCCGAGACAUCCAAAGCCUGGCGCCAUGUCCAAUGGCCGAGCCUCAAAUCUUCGUCCAGAUGCCAACAGAGUUUCAAUGGUGGCACCAGCACCCUCUACGGUGGAGGUGUAAUGAUCACCUUUUGUACUUAUCAGUUGUGAAUGUGUGUGUGUGCGCCUGUAUAUAUAAUAUAUUGUGGUGAUGAAAUAAUGUUUGGGGAUAUUUAUUUGAAUCUGCCACUGGUGCCAAUAGUUUGAUUUAGGAAACUAGAAAACACUUAGUAAAUACAAUUCUUUUAUUAAUACAGUAUUUGAAAGUUAUUUUCUUAAUAGCUUAUGUGAACCUAGGUGAUAAAGGCAGAGCCUUAAUAUUCUUGUAAAUGGAGAAACGUCUGUGUGAGAGGAAAUAUCAAAGAAAAAUGAAAUUCAGAAAAGUGAACUUCAGAUGAAGACAAUAGUGAUACAGUUAAGAAAAGAAAGAGAAAAGUGUUUGAAGACUUAUGCAUAGAAUGCCAAGCUUUAUUUUUUUUUUUUUUUAUCCCAAAAUGGAAAGCUAAGAUUGCCUUGACUUGUACUUAGGCCACGAUGGAGGUGCCACUAGGUGCUCCCUUCUCAUAAGUGUACUUAUGCUAGAUUUCUCAGGUUUUCUUUCUUUUAUAUGAUUUUUUCUUUUUUGAAGUUAUUAUUUAUUUUCUUUAGAUUUUUUUUUCUCAAUCAACUAAUUGUUUUUCUCAUGCAUAUGUCCAUCUUUGUGGUGGAAGUGUUGGGCAAGGAACAAUGUGUGGUGGCUUUUGUGGGUUGUUCUUGUUCCUUUUGUGAUUUUUUUUUUUUUUUUUUUUUUUUUUUUGCUUUCUAACUUUUUCAUGAAAGAUGUACAUUUGUAGGUAUUCGUUAAGGUAAUGGAAUUCCAUAUGUGCUGAUUGAUAUACAUUCACAUGUAAUCUGAUGAUGUACAUGUUAAAACAUAUAAUACAUCCAUACAGUUUACAUUUUUUAUACACAAAUUCCAACUUAAAAUUUCUUACAGAAAAAGAAUACACAUUUACAUUUUCCAGCUAGUCAUUGUUCUUUCAUUUCACAAACCACUAUGCAAUAAUUGUACAUUAAAGCUACCAGUGGAAUAGCGGCGACACUAUGCAUAAGCUCAUUUUCACAAAUUCAACCCUAUCCAAGACUCCCCUUUCUUUCAGUAUAUCUAGGGAUUGUUUUGCAACUGUGGAGAAUCUUACAAACUUAGUUUAGUUUUUGAGAGAGAUAAAAGUCUGUUAUAGCCUUCUUUUGGCUCCCAUUGGUCCUUCUUACUUUUGUCACAAAUACUGACUUCUCUGAUUUUUGUGCAUGGAUUUCGUUUCUUGCACCUUCUGCUGUAUUUGUUUGAGCUGUAACAUUUUUGCACUCCCUCUUGUGCAUGUACUCAUACUUGCAUUUAUAUUCACUCACAAUCACGUUUACAUUCCAGCUCACAUUCACAUUAACACUCAUACUUUAACAGAAACACACACACACACACACACACACACACACACACACACACACACACACACACACACACACACACUCACUCACUCACUCACUCACUCACUCACUCACUCACUCACUCACUCACU
rnacentral:misc_RNA from 1 species